GCCUCCUCCCCCUCUCCCUGUCCCCUCCCACCCCGCUUGCCGGAUCCCCAGCAGUCUCUUGACACCUCGGGGGAAGGCUGGGAGGUGUAACCAUCGCCAGCAAGAGAGAGGGAGAGCGAGAGGGAAGGGAGAAGGAAGCCAAUAACGUGGAGGUCUAGGAAGGUGGUGGAGUGGGAGGGACGGGGCCACUCCUCCGUCGGUGGGACUGCAGAUUAUUUUGCAUGGAUUGUUGAAGAGAAAAGGGAGCUGCAUUUGUGAAGGAACCAAAAAAUAAACGGCUCGUUGCUCAGGAGCUCCAGGAGAUGAGUGGCUGAGAUGCUCAGGGAGGUCCUUCCCUGCAGUCCAUAACAUGGCUGACCCUGCUGACCAUGGGCAGCACCUAGUUCUGGUCAAGUCCCAGGCAGGGAUCGCGCAAGGAUCGGAAGCGCCUGGCUGUGCCUAGUGCAAUAGGUGUGGUGAUGCUGCGCACUCCGUGACAGUGAGGGAUACACUCGGAUGCACGUGGAGAAGAGGUAGUACCGAGCCUGAGUGCGGGGAGGGAGCCCGUAAGCUCUGGGACAACAAACAGAAUAUGAGUGAGAACAGCCACUUCCCACAACCUGCUGCAGGUCGCUGCGAGCUGCCUUCCGCGGGCUCGCAGC